GACGAACGCUGGCGGCGUGCUUAACACAUGCAAGUCGAACGGAAAGGCCCUGCUUUUGCGGGGUGCUCGAGUGGCGAACGGGUGUGUAACACGUGAGUAACCUGCCCCUGACUUUGGGAUAACUUCUGGAAACUGGGGCUAAUACCGGAUAGGAGCUCCUGCUGCAUGGUGGGGGUUGGAAAGUUUCGGCGGUUGUGGCUGGACUCGCGGCUUAUCCGCUUGUUGGUGUGGUAGUGGCUUACCAAGGCUUUGACGGGUAGCCGGCCUGAGAGGGUGACCGGCCACAUGGGUACUGAGAGACGGCGCAGACUCCUACGGGAGGCAGCAGUGGAGAAUAUGACACAACGGGCGGAAGCCUGAUGCAGCAGCGCCGCGUGCGGGAUGACGUCCUACGGGUUGUAAACCGCUUUCGCCGGUAACGAAGCGUGAGUGACGGUAAUGGGUAAAGAAGCACCGGCUAACUACGUG
rnacentral:rRNA from 1 species